AUGGACCCCAACUGCUCCUGCGCUACCGGUGACUCCUGCACUUGCGCUGGAUCCUGCAAAUGCAAAGAGUGCAAAUGUAUCUCCUGCAAAAAGAGCUGCUGCUGCUGCCCGCCCGGUGGGCUGCACCAAGUGUGCCCAGGGCUGCAUCUACAAAGGGGCGUCGGAGAAGUGCAGCUGCUGCAGCUGA